AUUGAACGCUGGCGGCAGGCCUAACACAUGCAAGUCGAACGGUAACAGGAAGCAGCUUGCUGCUUCGCUGACGAGUGGCGGACAGGCGAGUAAUGUCUGGGAAGCUGCCUGAUGGAGGGGGAUAACUACUGGAAACGGUAGCUAAUACCGCAUAAUGUCGCAAGACCAAAGAGGGGGACCUUCGGGCCUCUUGCCAUCGGAUGUGCCCAGAUGGGAUUAGCUUGUUGGUGGGGUAACGGCUCACCAAGGCGACGAUCCCUAGCUGGUCUGAGAGGAUGACCAGCCACACUGGGACUGAGACACGGUCCAGACUCCUACGGGAGGCAGCAGUGGGGAAUAUUGCACAAUGGGCGCAAGCCUGAUGCAGCCAUGCCGCGUGUAUGAAGAAGGCCUUCGGGUUGUAAAGUACUUUCAGCGGGGAGGAAGGGAGUAAAGUUAAUACCUUUGCUCAUUGACGUUACCCGCAGAAGAAGCACCGGCUAACUCCGUG
rnacentral:rRNA from 1 species